rnacentral:rRNA from 1 species
UAAUCGGAAUUACUGGGCGUAAAGCGUGCGCAGACGGUUGCGUAAGUCAGAUGUGAAAGCCCCGGGCUCAACCUGGGAAUUGCAUUUGAGACUGCGUAGCUAGGGUGCGGAAGAGGGAAGCGGAAUUUCCGGUGUAGCGGUGAAAUGCGUAGAUAUCGGAAGGAACACCAGUGGCGAAAGCGGCUUCCUGGUCCAGCACCGACGUUCAGGCACGAAAGCGUGGGGAGCAAACAGG